rnacentral:piRNA from 1 species
UAUGGGUAUUUCCAAAGGGAUGCAUGUAA